UACGUAGGGUGCAAGCGUUGUCCGGAAUUAUUGGGCGUAAAGAGCUCGUAGGCGGUUUGUUGCGUCGGCUGUGAAAUCCCGAGGCUCAACCUCGGGUCUGCAGUCGAUACGAGCAAACUAGAGUGUUGCAGGGGAGACUGGAAUUCCUGGUGUAGUGGUGAAAUGCGUAGAUAUCGGGAGGAACACCAGAGGCGAAGGCGGCUUUCUGGCCUGUAACUGACGCUGAGGCGCGAAGGCUGGGGUAGCGAACAGG
rnacentral:rRNA from 1 species